rnacentral:lncRNA from 1 species
ACUGUAUUAAUCGGGCAGCGGUUCAUAUUUAUUCUGACAAUUAGAAAUAAAUAAAUAAUAAAAUAAUUAAAUUAUUUUUUAAAAUAUUAUAAUAAAAUAUUCAAACUGAUAGAAAAUGUUAGUACAGAGAUAAAAAAUUUUUGAUCCAAAGCCAACAUAACAUAUUAUCACUUUGACUCAUCAAAAAAUAUAUAUAUUAAAAAAAAAAUCCCAUCU